AGAGAAUGUUGAUGCAGCUUUGUAAUAAGACAGAUGGUGAUAUGUUGUCUCUUUUCCCUUUACAGGUCACCAAGAGUACAAGUCUGUAAGAAAUGUAUGUAGUCGUUUCCUUCCCCGCAGAGGGCUUGUUUUUUGUGGUGCCUGUUUCAUGGAUCAUAGAAGAUAAAUGUUACUGGCCUCCCUUUAAAACGCUGGACAAGGUAAAAAAGGCUGCCCUACAAAAUGAAACCCCUGACCCCAAUUGUUGGACACUUCAUCCAGUUGAGGUGCUUAAAGUUAAAGACACAUACGAAAAGGCCCACAGCCACUACCUUAAAGCAAAAAGAGGAGAGAAGCUGGAGACAGAUGAGGAGACCAUGAAAAGAAAAAGAAAGUAAGAUAAUAUUUGCAUCAUACUAGUCACUAAUAUAUAAACGGAGGUAGAUUGACUGAAUUACAUAGGCAGCAUGUGAUCUAGACAGGUUUGACACAAUCUACCAAAUAACUACUGAAUUACUCACAAAUAUAUCAAAAUAUGCAUAAAUACUAAGUCAACUCAAUCAAUACAACAAUAUUUAAUUACUUUGGUCAUUUAUGCAAAGAAAUGCUGGAUUCGCUUAGAUGAGGUAACAAACUUCUCAAAGUCAGGUGAAGCUGAAUCAUGGCAUCUGAGUAAGUAACCAACAUGCAGGAGCCUCCUGUUCGAUGUUCUACAUCGACCUACAUUGCUUGGCAGACAUGAGGUCAUAUCCUGAAACUAGAAAUAUCAACAUAAGGGUUCUUCAAGGUGAACUAAGGAAGUGGACUAUAUAAA